rnacentral:lncRNA from 1 species
UGAUCAAGAAUUGGUUUCCAUUUUUCUGUUGAUUGGGAGUGAUGAAAGAGUGAUGAAUUAUGGUAGUUUUNAGAAGACUUCAGCUCGGAUUGCCUUGUUAUCAUCAUGUUCACAAUACUUGAUUGAAGCCUUUUCCUAGGGACCAUGAAAGUGGUUGCCCCAAGCUUGUUCUCCACUUCAACUGCAUUAUCUUCGGCCUUUUGAGUGUGAACUUGCCCCUGAGUACGCUCCUGAGGGUGAAGUGUAAUUUAUGGAAGACCAUGUAAGGGAAAAUUUGAGUCUCUGAUACUCUUUGUUGCAGUCGUGGUGAACACGAAUCUUCAGUUCCCUGUAAGGCAUUCAGGGCCUCUAAGGCUUGGCUCAUUUGCCCCUUCAAUUGUUGGAUAUCAACUUUUCAUCCCUUCUUGAACUUCUCCUUGGUUCUCCAAGAUUUAGUAACUGGUUCGAGUCCUUUUUUUUUUUGAUUUUUUUCUUUUUUUUUUCUUUGAAAUUUUAUUAGAUGAAACACAAGAGAAAAAGAAAAUAAACAAUAAAAAUGAAAAGAAAAAGAGAAGACGAUGUAGUUCAAAUUCUCUAGUCAGAAAUUAUAAAGCUGUGAAAAGAUUGCCCCGGUAUAAUUUGGAAAUUAACACAAGACUGAGUCAAUAGGGUAGCUCAUCAUUCAGAAGUUCACAAAAUGUGAAGCAUAGGAAGUCUUUUUCCACUACUCUGGGGCCUUAACCAUCAGCUUUUUCAUUUCCCCCAUUGAUUUCUUGCAACAAUUGAGGAAUGUUUCAAUCCCCUUAAGCGGGUUAAAAUAUCGGCAAUGCAGACACAACCUCGGCUAAUGACCUAGGAACGUUUUCAAUGGCUUUAUUGGUAAGGGAAGCUAGUUGUGAGAGGCUUCACUUUCAAUUCUCCCUUGUUCAACAACAUGUUCCUUCAUUUGAAUUACCAAUUCUUGAUUUAUACUUUUUAGCAUGAUGCUAACCUUCCUUCUUCAGUUUGGCCACUGCUGCUUUCACACGUUGUUCAGCAUUGUGAAAUUACUUUUCACCAUUUGGGUCAGGAGAAAUUAACUUGGAUGACAACUUGACUGUAUUGACCCCCUUGGUGUGGUGGCAGGAGAAGAGAAUGGGCCCAACAGCCUGGCCCAAGCCUAACCCUAACAGAAACAUUAGGGGUUUCUCUAGCUUCCUCUCAUUCACGCAUAUGCAAAUACAGAGACCUCUAGACUCUCUCUUCCAAAUCCAGCCCAGGGAUAGAUGCGCCUCCUCCGCCUGCACACUACCACCAGCGGCUCUGACAACACUCUGAACGGCCACCGCAGGCCGCUGUCCUUUGCGUCGCCAGAGCUGCCGCCAGACAUCACGGCGGACCGCCACCACCUUGCCCCUUUCUCCUUCGCGCGAGAGGAAGACGAACUCACUUGGACGCGUGCUCCUCGUUGCCGGCGAAACCGGGACCGUCAGUCGUUGGCCAUGAUGUCGCCGCUUUGCUGCGUCUCCGAGAGCCACCACGAGGAUUCUCUCUUCUUCCUCUGAACGCGACGCGUCUUCUCCCCAAUUUGGAGCACACCGUCGUACCUUCCACCUUGAGAGAACUACCACCCCAAAAUUAUGCUAGCGACUCUGCCGACGCUUCUAGUAGUUGUCCAAGACCAUCACCAGGUUUGCCAAUGGAAUAGGUGCAAGCAACAUCUCCCAUCUUCUCCUAUCGAUUAGAUAUUCACAAUGAAGAUGGUGAGAUUUGGGGUUUCCUCCUCUAUUUGAUGGUUGUAUGUAUUUUAUUGAAUAUGUGAUGGACUGGAAGUAAGGGUUUGAUGCUUCAAGAAUUGAGAUGAAUUGGUAUGUGAUGAUGGAAGGCGUAAGGGAGACUAGGAAGCGGAUUUGGCUCUUUCUAUUUUGGUUUUUGAAUGCAGGGAAAAUGGUUUUAGAAGUAUGAUGAGGAGGAUGGGAAUGAAGAUAGAUGGAGAUGAAAAUGAUGGAAGGGUGCUGACAGUGGGAGAGACCGUGAAUGGAGAUGGUUACGGUUUUUGGGUAGAGCAGAGGGAUGGAUUCUGGGUUAUGUGUGAUCAAGAAUUGGUUUCCAUUUUUCUGUUGAUUGGGAGUGAUGAAAGAGUGAUGAAUUAUGGUAGUUUUNNUGUGCGUGCUGGGAUGGAGAGGAAAAGAUUGUGUGNGGUUCUGUUUNUGUUGUUGGUGAGUCCUAAGGAAAUUGUCUGUAGUGUUGAUGAGUGAUCCGAUUGGGCAAGGCCAGGAUAAGUGGUGGGGCUGUGUGAUGGAGCCAGAGUGAUGAAUCUGUUAAAAAAAAUGGUGUGUGUCCAGAAGGAUUGGGCAAUGACCGUGGUUGAAUAUUGGAGGUUGUUGGAGAUAAGGGGAGAAUUCCUCUGCUUCAUAUGCCAUGUGUGUUGAGUGAUCAAGCCUGGUCCGUUCUUCUGCUUGGGUGUGAUGAAGGAUAUGGAAGACCCAUUCUGUUAUGUUCCCCCUUUCCAUUUCCAAAACGUGUCCUUUUUUCCAACUAUAUUUUUUUUCGUUUUCCUUUUUUUUUCUUUCGUUUUCUUUUCUUUAUUUUCUUUUUUGUUCUUUCUUUUUUUUUUUCUUUUUCAUUGCUUUUCCUUUUAUCUUUUUUAUUCUUUCGUUUUUUUCUUUUACUUUUUUUUUUCAUUCAUUUUUUCCUUUUCUUUUUCAUCAUUUCUUUUUCGUUUUCUUUUUCCUUCUUUUUUUUCGAAAUAAUAAAAUCAAAUGAAAACUAAAAUUAAA